AUGACCACCGGUGUCCUACUAUCAGCUAAGACCAAGAAAAAUUCAACAGGACCCGGUAGACUGCAAGUACCAACAGCGCCACAACACUACAGACUAACAAGUGGACCAUGGGAGCCCAGGCGCCCACCCGUCAGACACUUGGGUGCGUCACUGCCGAUGGAAGGCAAAAUCGUUGUCGUUGCGAUGGGUGCAGGUGCAGGCCACCAUGUGCUCGAAUGUGAGCAGCGAACCUUGCUGGAAGGCCGGAGCUGGCUGUCCUCUCCUAUAAAAAUGGUCGCCGGGCGCCCUGCUUUUCCAACAGAAACACACACACGAAUCACCUGCUUUUCCAAGGCAGCUAUGGGAUUCUGCAGUGGCCGUUCAGAUGUCCAGGUGCUCCCAAAGAACACCUCCUCCGCAUCGUCGCCGUCUUCCUCGUCGGCUGCUAAAGAUUCCGGCCACAGUGAGAAGAACAAGAAGCAGCAGGGUGUAAAGAAUGAGGAGAGGAAGGAGAAGAAAAGGAGCAACCUUGACCGGGCUGCGCUCACGACGCCCCACUUCCCCUUUCAUUCUCGCCCCGGUCUUCUGUAA
rnacentral:rRNA from 1 species